rnacentral:rRNA from 1 species
CAGCCGCCGCGGUAAUACGGAGGGUGCAAGCGUUAAUCGGAAUUACUGGGCGUAAAGCGCACGCAGGCGGUCUGACAAGUCAAAUGUGAAAUCCCCGGGCUUAACCUGGGAACUGCAUUUGAAACUGUCAGGCUGGAGUCUUGUAGAGGGGGGUGGAAUUCCAGGUGUAGCGGUGAAAUGCGUAGAGAUCUGGAGGAAUACCGGUGGCGAAGGCGGCCCCCUGGACAAAGACUGACGCUCAGGUGCGAAAGCGUGGGGAGCAAACAGGAUUAGAUACCCGCGUAGUCCCUGUCUCUUAUAC